rnacentral:rRNA from 1 species
CUAAGCUUGAUGGCGACCGGCGCACGGGUGAGUAACACGUAUCCAACCUGCCGAUGACUCGGGGAUAGCCUUUCGAAAGAAAGAUUAAUACCCGAUGGCAUAGUUCUUCCGCAUGGUAGAACUAUUAAAGGAUUUCGGUCAUCGAUGGGGAUGCGUUCCAUUAGGUUGUUGGCGGGGUAACGGCCCACCAAGCCUUCGAUGGAUAGGGGUUCUGAGAGGAAGGUCCCCCACAUUGGAACUGAGACACGGUCCAAACUCCUACGGGAGGCAGCAUG